rnacentral:lncRNA from 1 species
CUUGCUGCCUCGGGUAAAUAGGCCAUUCUGUUGCUUCUAUGACCAACGAGUGUUCAUUGCAUGCCUGUGUGUUGUUGUGCUCUGAUCGGUUGUUUUUUGUGUAUUUUGCAGGUUGCAUGAUCUUUGUUGUAGCUGCGUCGUUCGACUCAUCAAGGUUUUCUUCUUUCCUUUCUACUACAUGUGUGCGUGUUUUACUUUCAGUAUCUUCUAUGUCAUGCUGUCUGCCUUGGUGAUCUUUUAAAUAUCUGUAUGUCGUGUUGAUCGUGUAAAUGUUCUGGAUAUGGUUGCGGCUUCUUUAUUUAUGUUGGACUGUUCUGUCAAUUGCCACCAUGACACUUGUUGAAAAUAGUGUUGUCGGGCGAUAAUCAUUCUUGGCAGUGAUUCUUGUUGUGGAUGGGAUAUUGAUGCAGAUAUACCACGAACGGAAGAUCUGCCUCACUGUGCACUUCAGGCGCGCGCACACUAGCGAUGGUACAGGAUUGGCUUCCUGGUGGAAUCAGGUGCGCGUCGUCCAUGGUGGCCUGUCGUGGGUGUUGGUGGGCGGCUGGAGGCGGCUGUAGCAGGUCGAUUUAUCUGACUAUUGAAAAUGAGCUUCAGAAUAUCUGUAGAACGUAGCCCACUUCCAGCUCUCCACGCGUGGAAGUCCAAAGAGUUCACCUUGGACAGACUCCUUUAUCUUUGAACAACUCAAUCAGUGGCUUGGUGUGCUAGGAUAUACAUAUGGAAUGAAGAUGAUCAGUCUAACAGACCACAAAAUUCUUUGCAUGUGCAUGACUGACUUGGGAUGAUUCCAAAGGAGGUAAAACAAGCCUUCUCAAAUUCAUGGCGGCAACUUGCAUCAAGUGCACAUGAAUUAGAGGGACUCACUUCUUUUGUCCAAACAUAUGCUUCACGAACGAGUCAUGAAGAUAAUGCUUACAUAAGUUUCCAACACUAGCUUAAUGUUCAACAAAAUCAUGGAGGAGAUAAGGAUGUUGUCAAUGGGCUCAACAACAAUUCAUCCAGGUUUCCAUAUUAGUGGAAUUCCACAAUUAUGUGAACAAGGUGAUAGCAUUGGUCAGACCCGAAAGAUAUAAUGGUGUAUGCUCGAGGAACAACCACGAGUAAGACAACAUUACGAAUAUCAUUGGUUCUGAUUUGAUUUGACGAUAGCCCAUAUUCAAAUCAAAGGUUUGGGUAAGAUAAUAGAUCCAACAAUUGAUCAUGAGGAUCAACCAAUAAAGAUAUCAUCUUUCUUCAACACACACACACAAAAAAAAUAUCCCUUAAAAUGACUAAGCCAGACAAUCUUUUAUCUUCCAACUCUCCAAGUUGUUGUUUGGCUUAACCAACUAGCUCAGGAGUAUCCAACACAGAUUUUUGGAGAAGGGGGUGGUUUACAGGAAUAAACCAACUUGUUCAUGAACUGAACAUAGCGGUCAGGUGACGACCUGGUGAUACUUCCGAGAAGAUAUUCAGAAAAUCACGAGCCACCGGUAUGUUACUAAGCUUGAGAACAAUCUUGCUUUUUAGGGCAAGACGAUAUGAUCAACAGAGCAAGGUAUUGACACAAUCCUAACUCAUUGAUCAGAGGGUGCACCAGAAAUAAGGACUAGGUAGCACAAUCAAUCUUAGAAUGAUGACUCAAUAAUCAGCAUGCUAAGAAUGAGGUUGUUGUUCAUUUAACUACCAAGCAACGGAGUUGCUAGCAGUAUUGAUUUCACACAUCACGAUUCACUUGUCGACAUUCCGGUUGCAACAACACGGGAACUGAGAAAUGAAUAAUGAUGGAGAGAAGUAUCACUGUGUCAAGAGUUCAUAGGAUGGUGUGCAAUUCCCAUGACAUUCUUGAUAUAAAGAUGGUAAUACUCCAAGGUAGAACAGAGCAAAAGCAAGAUUAGCAAUUUGGUCUAUGGAGUACGACUGCUUUGACCCAAUCCUGGAAAUGGACAGGAUACUGGAGUUUGUUUCUCCUAGUCAUUCCGGAUAGAAUGGCUUGACGGACCACAAGAAUAAUAGGCAUCGAUGAAAGAAUGCAUGCAUACUCUUGACUAUCAAAUGAUAGACGAGGGUCAGAAGUCAACUAAGAGGGACAACUCAAAGAACAUAUAAUUUUCUGAGUUGUGGAUGCAUAGAUUAGUAUGUCGAACCAAGUUCAACAUGUUUCUUCCGGAUAAGCCAUGCAGAGAGGUAGGACUGGCAGAGUCACGAUUUAUGAAUGGAGAACUCCUCAAGAGUACUCUAAUUGUGAUCUAUUGAUCCAAUAAACAUCUGCCAUAAGCGGUUCAUAGUAUUUGGAAGAAGGAAAUACCACGGACCUCGAGGACUAUCGCAAAGUUACUAAUAUCCCAAAGGAGCUAGCAAUUGCUAACAACAUGAAAUAAGUAGGGUGAAUCUCGGGUUCAAGAACCCAGAAAUAGAAUGCCUACUAACUAAUAACAUCACGGGAUGCUUUCAAAAAUAAUGGCCAGAAUCAUCACACUGGGGAUACAAAAGCAUUGCUAAAUUGCUAGGUGACUUCCUAAACACCUAAGGUCAUAAUAAUAGCUCCAACAUCUACGCCGAGGCAACAAAGUACCUCAACCUACCGAUUAGUGUGCUUAUUCCGACCAAAAGGGACAUCGGAGAUGGAAGGAAAGGAUUUGCAAAUGCAUUAGACUGUUUAGAGACCUGGGAUGACUUGGACAGCAUAACGGCUGUAAAUGCUCAAAAAGAUUUGAGACAUGCUACAAAAAUGGUGGCAUAGCCACUCAGAAGCACAAUACCAAGGUUUCGAGAUCAACAGUUAACAUACAGAAGUAGUAGAAACUGAACAGAGGCUUAAGUCCAACAAUUCUAUAAGUCUACGGAUUAGUAACACGUGAUCCUGAUAGAAAGAAGAGAAAGCCUAGUUCCUUAACCCCGUAGGAAAGAUAAGAUGACUCAGAUCAGAAGGGCAUAAGGUAUAAGGAGUAAAAAGAGCCUUAUGUUCCAUCCCACAAUCAAUUCCCUUAUAUAACUAAAGCAUUUCUAGACUCAACUUCGACCAGUUUGGCUUGGUAAUCCUACAGGCAGUCAAGCUCUGAUACCAACGUUGUCAGGACCCUGACUCAAUGCCACAUCGAUCUAGCAUGUAACACCUCAUAUCACUUUGCGGCCUCACGCACGGUAUUCCCACGGGUGUCGCCUUACCUUUGCCCGGGACUGUUUGCGCCUUUUGGCACACGUAUAUGAUAGUGUCGCUAGCAUCCAUAUGAUAAGGAGCCCGGGCUGACAUGGCUAGUCGUAAACCCAAAGUGGCACAGACUUACAGGGACAGGCAUCCAUGACCCAGCACCGAACGUGUCGGUCAUCAGCAAGUGGGUCCGGGCUGUAGCUCUGGGCUAGCAGGACUCCGGUAAACCGGGCUGUAGCGGGCUAACAGGACUCCGGUACUCAAUGCGUGACAUUUCCCCGAAGGGACAGACACUGGAACGAAGAAGGACACAUGCCGGCCAGCCUAAGUAUUGCGGAGCAGUAGCAAGCUACCAUGGCUCAAUGGAAACACUAGGAGACAUUUCCCGGUAAGAGAGGCUACUAAAGAUAAACAACUAGAUAGUCAGAUCCCACACAUACCAAGCAUUUCAAUCAUACACACAAUAUGCUCGAUAUGUGCAAAUACAACAAGGCAUCACAACAUGACUCUACGACACAAGUAAGUAUUCAUUAGGCUCCGAGGAGCGGGAUAUUACAAACAUAGUCUCAUGACCCAACAUUCAGAGCAAACAAGUCAAGCACAAGCGGAAGCCUAACAUGUCUGAGUACAGACAUCUACAAAUGAAAAAGUCUAAGAAGCCUGAUUAUCUACCAGAUCCUGCCGAGGCACAAGAUCGUAGCUGAGGUAACAAGCUAAACGUCGAAGUCCACGCGGUACUACUAGCGAGACUGACGUCUCUCUGCAAAAACAUAAAUUAAGCAACGUGAGUACAAAUGUACCCAGCAAGACUUACAUCAGAACUAACUACAUAUGCAUCAUUAUCAACAAGGGGAUGGUGGGGAUUAACUGCAGCAAGCCAGCUUUGACUCGGUGGCUAUCCUGAACUACGACUGCAAGUAACUCUUUUGAGGUGGCGCACACGAGUCCACAUAUUCACCAUAUCAAUACACCACUAUGGAUCCUCUCCCGUCUCCCUACGAGAACGCCAUCCAUAGCACUCACGCUUAUCUUGCGUAUUUUAAAGUAUCCACUUUCACUUGUCUAUGAACUAUGCAAGGGGUCCAAGUUUCCAUAUCCGAGGAAUCCGGCUAUUCGAAUAGAUAGUGAUAACCUUGCAGGGGUGUACUUCUUCACACACUUAGCUCACACACAGUAGGACAUGUUCACAUGCCUCUGAUUCAUUCCCGAUGAAUCAGACCUGACUCAACUCUAAGCAGUAGCAGGCAUGACAAACAAACAUGAAUGAGUAGGCACAAUAGGGCUCAAACAACUCCUACUCAUGCUAGUGGGUUUCAUCUAUUUACUGUGGCAAUGACAGGUCAUGCAGAGGAUAAAGGGGUUCAGCUACCGCAGCAAGUAACAAAUGACUCGUUGUUGUCCUAAUGCAGUAAAAGAGAGCAGGGCGAGAGAGUAGGAUUGUAUCGGAAUGAACAAGGGGGUUUUGCUUGCCUAGCACUUCUGAAGAUAGUAUAGCUCUUCAUCGGUGUCAUCGAACUCAUCGUCGAACCACGUCUAUCGAGAGGGGACAAACACCGGCAACAGAGAAAGAACACAAUCAAUGCAAUGCAACAAUAUGAUGCAUGAGUGUGACAUGGCAAUAUGCUGUGGUUUGAGCUAAUGCAGCUAGCAACAAAGUUAAAUGAAGUUGGUUUGAACCCUAAGUUCAAAACCAAACUCCAUAUGUGAAAUUCAAAUGUCAUUUAUAUGAUUUGUGCUAAACAGCAGCUAUAAGUUGUUCUAACAUGCAUGAAAAUAGUACAGAUGGAUAGAUUGGAUUUUUCUGAUCAUUUUUCAUAUAUAAUUUAUUUGAUUUGGAGUUACGGUUGAUUUUAUAUGAUUUUUAGAAGUUUGGGGUAUUUUCUGAAAUUUAUAAAUCAUUUCCUGAUUUAUUUUAAUUCCAGAAAUACUUUACUGCAUCAGCAUGACGCCUGUGUGACGUCAGCAAGUCAACAGGGUUGACCAGAGUCAAACCUGUGGCACGGGACCCACGGGUCAGAGUCAUUAGACUAACUAAUCUUAGUUAGUCCUAAUCCUAGGUUUAAUUAGCAGGGCGGGCCCACACGUCAGUGACCCAGGGGGGUCAAAUCCCUGGUCAACCGGGGCUAAUCCACUGGCGUCUAGCCGCCGGCAACGACUAGACGCGGCGGAGGCUCGGGAAUCGCCCACAGGGCACAAUUCGAGCUGCGGCUAGGCGCGUCGGAGUGCCCUCGCCGGCGCGCGUCGUUAGGUGGUGCUAGCCGGGCCUGUGGUGGCCGGAGGCGACGGCUACGAGCUCGGCAGCGGCGGCCAGAGCUCGGCUAAGUGCGGGCGCGGUGCUGCAACUCGUAGGUGAGUGAACGGAGGUGCUAGGCAGCACCUAAAGGGCAGCAGGAGCAUGUCGGAGCUACUAUGCGAGGCAGAGGUGCUCGGGGGCACGGAGCUCGCCGGCCAUGGCGGACGGCGGCUUCGGGUGCUCGCGGGGCGGCGGCUACAGGGCGCGCACGAGAGAGAGAGAGGUGAGGGGAAACGACAGCAAGCUCACAGGGAGGCAGCAGGGUGGCUCAGUGGGCUCGGGGACGACCUCCAGCGCGCGAACGACGGCGACGGCCGGCGAGUAGAUGCGGCAAUGGCGAGCUCGAAGACGAUGGUGUGGCGAUCCUUGGCUUGCGUGGCUCGGCGAAGAGGGAGAUGGAGUCGCGCCGGACCUUCCAAACACGGGGGAGGUGCGAGGAGGUGGCUGUGGCCGCGGUGGUGGCGAGCGGCGGCGACGGGCGUGUUCGGUGGCGUCGUGGGGAGAGAGAGCAGAGGAGGGAGAAAGGUCCAGGGAGAGGGGGGAGGAAUCAGGGGGAGUGUCGUGGCGUCUCCACGCGUGGACAGGCUCGAAGGGGAGGCCUCCAGCGCGAAGCAGGAGGUGGCCAGCGUCGACGCGUGUGCGUCCAGCACGCAGCUGCUUCGGGGCGAGGGGGAGGAAGAUGACUGGCAGCUGGGCUGCACAGUAACGGGCCGCGCAGGAGCUGGGCUGGUUGGUGGCUCCAGGUAGGUAAGGGUCCAGGUGAGUCUCUGUUCUUUCUAUUUUUUUUGUUUCUGUUUUCUAAUUUUGCAGUUUUGUUUUAAUUUGGUUUCUUAACCAAAUUAUUUUUGCAGCUCUCUUGGAAUUAUUGUGGAUGCAUUAAGGUUUAUCCUAGAGCUCCACAAAAUAUUCCAGGAUUAUUGGAGCAAUAAAAAUAUUUAUAGAAUUUAUUUGCUCCAACUCAAAUACAAUUAUGAAUUAAUUCAAAAACCAUAAAUGCAUUGGAAAAAUGUGCAUGACCUCUGAUUAAGGUUUUAACCUUUUCCCAGAAAUAAUGAACAUUUUUGGAGGGCAUUUUGGGUCCAAUGAAAAUAUUUGAAUUGAACCUAGUUAAAAUUACUAUCUGCUAGGGUUUGAACAUCCCCACUUCAAAAUUUCAUUUGAAUUUAGACAUGAUGCAUGGAUGCUUACGCAGAGUCAGGCAAGGGCUUAGCUAGGGCUGUGACAGCAGAUUCCAAAUGGAGAUGCAUUUUCAUGCAUUGGGGGAAGAAGUAGAAUAAAUAGUAAAUCUUGAUCUUAUGGAGUGAUGAUUUACAUUCUUUGUGUGAUGAGAUAAUACACAACCUAGGUGUUAUUUAGCUUGCUAUCGUAGAACAACUGACUAUCAUGAUGUGUAGUUUCUGAAUAUUGAGUCCUCGAGUUUUGUGGAAUGGUGCGCUCUAAUUUGGAAGUGGUAUUUCCUAAUGUAUUUGCAUAGUUAGAUAUCAUAUUAUUUUUUUUCUCUUACUUGAAAUUUCUGCCAUGUAAAGCUAGGUUGUCUUUGAUUUGUUGUUGUGUUAGGUAUUGAACAGACUGGCUUGUUUGGCUAACCUUCCUUUCCUUUUAUUUUGCAGGCUCUAGAAUCGCUAAGGUUGCUCCUUCUCUGUUCCUUUGGUUAAGGUUUGUCCUUGUCAUUCUUUUCUAAGCACUGCACUUUUCUACCCUAUUUGUUUACUGCUUAUUGUCAUGUUAAUUCCUCUGUUCCUGAUUUUUCCAGGUGUCGUGUUUGUGUGUUUGUUUUUGUGGUGCUGCUUAUAUGUGUGACUACCGUAUGAUCGUAUAUAUAUGCUAAAAAGUAAAACUAUUUUUCCUUGGCACGAUACAUAAUUUGUAAUGAGAUGGUAGUACAUCAGUGUAUUUGGUGAAACUCGAGCUUCGACGAAUAUGAAGGUCUUUGUGUUGGCAUACACUCCUUUAUUCCAAAUGGUGCUGAUAUAGAAACACCAUCAGGGAUUCCAUGUGUACCAUGUAUGUCCAUAAAAACAGCAUCGAUAUAUCAGCAUACUAAUGUGCUGAUCUAAAAACAUUCUUUUCUAAGUGAUGGUUUCGAGUCGGCAAAAAUACAGUGUAUGUCCAUAAUGUGAUGGCAACUGAGUAGCCAUGUGUACAGGGAAGGCAUCAGUCUAUAUCGAAAAACACCAGCGAUUUUAUCCUAAUUGUUAAUGAAAUUGUUGUUUACUGCUUCAUAUUACCAAUUGCACCUGCUUACAGAUAUCCUUAAGUUUACUACCUCCUGUCCUUAG